AGCAGCCGCGGUAAUUCCAGCUCCAAUAGCGUAUAUUAAAGUUGUUGCAGUUAAAAAGCUCGUAGUUGAGUUUUAGGCCUGACCGGGCGGUCCGUCUCUGGCGAGUACUGUUCUGUUGUCGGGUCUAUCCUUCUGGUGAGCCGGUAUGUCCUUUGUUGGGUGUGUCGGGGAACCAGGACCAUUACCUUGAAAAAUUAGAGUGUUUAAAGCGGGCUUUUGCUUGAAUAGAUUAGCAUGGAAUAAUAGAAUAGGACGUUGGUUCUAUUUUGUUGGUCUAGGACCACCGUAAUGAUUAAUAGGGAUAGUUGGGGCAUUAGUAUUUCAAUUGUCAGAGGUGAAAUUCUUGGAUUUAUUGAAGACUAACUACUGCGAAAGCAUUUGCCAAGG
rnacentral:rRNA from 1 species